rnacentral:rRNA from 1 species
ACUCGAGUGGCGAACGGGUGAGUAACACGUGGGUGAUCUGCCCUGCACUUCGGGAUAAGCCUGGGAAACUGGGUCUAAUACCGGAUAGGAGCCAUUUUUAGUGUGAUGGUUGGAAAGUUUUUCGGUGUAGGAUGAGCUCGCGGCCUAUCAGCUUGUUGGUGGGGUAAUGGCCUACCAAGGCGGCGACGGGUAGCCGGCUGAGAGGGUGGACGGCCACAUUGGGACUGAGAUACGGCCCAG